rnacentral:rRNA from 1 species
GAUGAACGCUAGCGGUAGGCCUAAUACAUGCAAGUCGAGCGGCAGCAUGGUCUUAGCUUGCUAAGACUGAUGGCGACCGGCGCACGGGUGCGUAACGCGUAUGCAACUUGCCUCACAGAGGGGGAUAACCCGUCGAAAGACGGACUAAUACCGCGUACAUUCUAUUUUGGGUUUCCAAGGUAGAGGAAAUUAAAUUCGCUGUGAGAUAGGCAUGCGUCCCAUUAGCUAGUUGGUGAGGUAACGGCCCACCAAGGCGACGAUGGGGAGGGGAACUGAGAGGUGGCACCCCCGGACUGGUACUGGGCCACGGACCCGACUGGUAGGCGACGCAGCGGUGUGGAAUAUAGGGCAAGGAGCGAGGGCCUGAACCAGCCAAGUCGGGUGAAGGGGGACUGUCUUAUGAAUUGUAAUCUUCUUUUGAAGAGGAAUAAGGAGGGGCACGUGUGCCCCAGUGAAUGUACCCUACGAAUAAGCAUCGGCUAACUCCGUG